rnacentral:rRNA from 1 species
UACGAAGGGGGCUAGCGUUGUUCGGAAUUACUGGGCGUAAAGGGCGCGUAGGCGGUGUGUCAAGUCAGGCGUGAAAGCCCCGGGCUCAACCUGGGAACAGCGCUUGAGACUGGCACGCUCGAGUUCGGGAGAGGAUGGUGGAAUUCCCAGUGUAGAGGUGAAAUUCGUAGAUAUUGGGAAGAACACCGAUGGCGAAGGCAGCCAUCUGGACCGACACUGACGCUGAGGCGUGAAAGCGUGGGGAGCAAACAGG